GUGCUGACUUCAGCAGUAUAUCAAUUAAAACUGAAAAGAUACCCAGAAGACUAACAUGGCCUCUACACAAGGAUGCCAAUGACAUGAAAACUUCAAAAAUUUUU